CAUUAAUGGCAUAAAAAGUUUAUUCAAUGAGUACUGUCUUGUUCUUAUAAUGCGAUCUACUUUUGUCAAUACGAUUGCUGUAGAACUGAUUGGACCUACAUAUUUACAACAGUUUAACUGUUUUGUUUCCUUUUUACAGUCCCAAUAUUAUUGCAAUUCGGUAGCAAAGAUGUUGACACCACAUGUUGUCUGAUGAUGAGUUUUACAGGAUCGAAUAAGGUUUGGUCAUUGUAUUCCCUGAAAGGAACAAGAGGAGAAAAGAAACUGGAAGACCUGCAUGCCUAUCCGCAGGCCAAUGCUGGCUGCAGGUCAAUAUUGAAUGCUCUUAUGAAAACUCAUAAGACAAUAACAAAAAAAAGAAGCUGAGGAUGCUGUUUUUAAAACAUGUUCCAUUCAAAAAUGGUGGAUUGAAAUUUAAGAAAGGUGUGACGGGUGCGGCUACUGCAGGCAGGGAGGAUUUGACGGUCAGCCAGAGGAUUUGGAGAUAUACUGUAAUGUCUUUAAUGUGGACUUGCGUGUGAUUUAAG